UACAGAGGGUGCAAGCGUUAUUCGGAAUUACUGGGCGUAAAGCGCAUGUAGGCGGGCUAUCAAGUCAGGUGUGAAAUCCCGGGGCUUAACUUCGGAAUGGCAUUUGAAACUGAUAGUCUUGAGAUUGGGAGAGGGAAGUGGAAUUCCAGGUGUAGAGGUGAAAUUCGUAGAUAUCUGGAGGAACACCGGAGGCGAAGGCGGCUUCCUGGUCCAAAGCUGACGCUGAGAUGCGAGAGCGUGGGUAG
rnacentral:rRNA from 1 species